AGUCAGCACUGGCUGCUUUAGACCAGCUGACAAUGAAGUGUGCAGCAAGAUGUGGUGUGCAGUAUGACUUGUAGAUGUUCAAUACCUUGAGUGCCCUUGGGCCACUCCCAAUGGUCUGCUGCAUUUGAAACAG
rnacentral:rRNA from 1 species